rnacentral:rRNA from 1 species
CCUACGGGAGGCAGCAGUGGGGAAUAUUGCACAAUGGGCGAAACCCUGAUGCAGCGACGCCGCGUGAGUGAAGAAGUAAUUCGUUUUGUAAACCUCUAUCAGCAGGGAAGAAAAUGACGGUACCUGAGCAAGAAGCCCCGGCUAACUACGUGCCAGCAGCCGCGGUCAUACGUCGGGGGCAAGCCUUAUCCGGAGUUUCUGGGUGUAGAGUGAGUGUAGACGGCAGGGCAAGACUGGGGUGAAAGGCGGGGGUUCAACCCCCGGACUGCUCUUGAAACUGGACGGUUGGAGUGCCGGAGAGGGAAGUGGAAUUCCUGGUGUAGGGGUGAAAUGCGUAGAUAUUAGGAGGAACAACAGUGGCGAAGGCGGCUAACUGGACCGUAACUGACGUUGAGGCGCGAAAGCGUGGGGAGCAAACAGGAUUAGAUACCCCUGUAGUC